rnacentral:rRNA from 1 species
AUUGACUUAGCGGCGGACGGGUGAGUAACGCGUGGGUAACCUGCCUUACACUGGGGGAUAACAGUUAGAAAUGACUGCUAAUACCGCAUAAGCGCACAGGGCCGCAUGGUCUGGUGUGAAAAACUCCGGUGGUGUAAGAUGGACCCGCGUCUGAUUAGGUAGUUGGUGGGGUAACGGCCCACCAAGCCGACGAUCAGUAGCCGACCUGAGAGGGUGACCGGCCACAUUGGGACUGAGACACGGCCCAAACUCCUACGGGAGGCAGCAUG